AAUUCCAAUCGAACUUGGAGAUAGCUGGUUCUCUCCGAAAUAGCUUUAGGGCUAGCCUCAAGUGAUGAUUAUUGGAGGUAGAGCACUGUUUGGACGAGGGGCCCCUCUCGGGUUACCGAAUUCAGACAAACUCCGAAUGCCAAUUAAUUUAACUUGGGAGUCAGAACAUGGGUGAUAAGGUCCGUGUUCGAAAGGGAAACAGCCCAGACCACCAGCUAAGGUCCCAAAAUAUAUGUUAAGUGGAAAAGGAUGUGGCGUUGCCCAGACAACUAGGAUGUUGGCUUAGAAGCAGCCAUCAUUUAAAGAGUGCGUAAUAGCUCACUAGUCGAGUGACACUGCGCCGAAAAUGUACCGGGGCUAAACAUAUUACCGAAGCUGUGGAUUGUCCUUUGGACAAUGGUAGGAGAGCGUUCUAAGGGCGUCGAAGCAUGAUCGCAAGGACAUGUGGAGCGCUUAGAAGUGAGAAUGCCGGUGUGAGUAGCGAAAGACGGGUGAGAAUCCCGUCCACCGAUUGACUAAGGUUUCCAGAGGAAGGCUCGUCCGCUCUGGGUUAGUCGGGUCCUAAGCUGAGGCCGACAGGCGUAGGCGAUGGAUAACAGGUUGAUAUUCCUGUACCACCUAGUAUCGUUUUAAUCGAUGGGGGGACGCAGUAGGAUAGGCGAAGCGUGCUGUUGGAGUGCACGUCCAAGCAGUAAGGCUGAGUGUUAGGCAAAUCCGGCACUCAUAAGGCUGAGCUGUGAUGGGGAGAGGAAAUUGUUUCCUCGAGUCGUUGAUUUCACACUGCCGAGAAAAGCCUCUAGAUAGAUAACAGGUGCCCGUACCGCAAACCGACACAGGUAGUCAAGAUGAGAAUUCUAAGGUGAGCGAGCGAACUCUCGUUAAGGAACUCGGCAAAAUGACCCCGUAACUUCGGGAGAAGGGGUGCUCUUUAGGGUUCACGCCCAGAAGAGCCGCAGUGAAUAGGCCCAAGCGACUGUUUAUCAAAAACACAGGUCUCUGCUAAACCGUAAGGUGAUGUAUAGGGGCUGACGCCUGCCCGGUGCUGGAAGGUUAAGAGGAGUGGUUAGCUUCUGCGAAGCUACGAAUCGAAGCCCCAGUAAACGGCGGCCGUAACUAUAACGGUCCUAAGG
rnacentral:rRNA from 1 species